GGAAUAUUGGACAAUGGGCGAAAGCCUGAUCCAGCCAUGCCGCGUGUGUGAAGAAGGUCUUCGGAUUGUAAAGCACUUUAAGUUGGGAGGAAGGGCAGUAAAUUAAUACUUUGCUGUUUUGACGUUACCGACAGAAUAAGCACCGGCUAACUCUGUGCCAGCAGCCGCGGUAAUACAGAGGGUGCAAGCGUUAAUCGGAAUUACUGGGCGUAAAGCGCGCGUAGGUGGUUUGUUAAGUUGGAUGUGAAAUCCCCGGGCUCAACCUGGGAACUGCAUCCAAAACUGGCAAGCUAGAGUAUGGUAGAGGGUGGUGGAAUUUCCUGUGUAGCGGUGAAAUGCGUAGAUAUAGGAAGGAACACCAGUGGCGAAGGCGACCACCUGGACUGAUACUGACACUGAGGUGCGAAAGCGUGGGGAGCAAACAGGAUUAGAUACCCUAG
rnacentral:rRNA from 1 species